rnacentral:rRNA from 1 species
AACGAUCGUUAAUACCGCAUAACAUAAUUGAACCGCAUGAUUUGAUUAUCAAAGAUUUAUCGCUGAAAGAUGAGCUCGCGUCUGAUUAGCUAGUUGGUAAGGUAACGGCUUACCAAGGCGACGAUCAGUAGCCGGACUGAGAGGUUGAUCGGCCACAUUGGGACUGAGACACGGCCCAGACUCCUACGGGAGGCAGCAGUGGGGAAUAUUGCACAAUGGAGGAAACUCUGAUGCAGCGAUGCCGCGUGAGGGAAGAAGGUUUUAGGAUUGUAAACCUCUGUCUUCAGGGACGAAAAAAGACGGUAUCUGAGGAGGAAGCUCCGGCUAACUACGUGCCAGCAGCCGCGGUAAUACGUAGGGAGCGAGCGUUGUCCGGAAUUACUGGGUGUAAAGGGAGCGUAGGCGGGACCGCAAGUCAGAUGUGAAAACUAUGGGCUUAACCCAUAAACUGCAUUUGAAACUGUGGUUCUUGAGUGAAGUAGAGGUAAGCGGAAUUCCUAGUGUAGCGGUGAAAUGCGUAGAUAUUAGGAGGAACAUCAGUGGCGAAGGCGGCUUACUGGGCUUUAACUGACGCUGAGGCUCGAAAGCGU